rnacentral:rRNA from 1 species
AUUGAACGCUGGCGGCAGGCCUAACACAUGCAAGUCGAACGGCAGCACAGAAGAGCUUGCUCUUUGGGUGGCGAGUGGCGGACGGGUGAGUAAUGUCUGGGAAACUGCCCGAUGGAGGGGGAUAACUACUGGAAACGGUAGCUAAUACCGCAUAACGUCGCGAGACCAAAGUGGGGGACCUUCGGGCCUCACACCAUCGGAUGUGCCCAGAUGGGAUUAGCUAGUAGGUGGGGUAAUGGCUCACCUAGGCGACGAUCCCUAGCUGGUCUGAGAGGAUGACCAGCCACACUGGAACUGAGACACGGUCCAGACUCCUACGGGAGGCAGCAGUGGGGAAUAUUGCACAAUGGGCGCAAGCCUGAUGCAGCCAUGCCGCGUGUAUGAAGAAGGCCUUCGGGUUGUAAAGUACUUUCAGCGGGGAGGAAGGCGGUGAGGUUAAUAACCUUGGCGAUUGACGUUACCCGCAGAAGAAGCACCGGCUAACUCCGUGCCAGCCGCCGCGGUAA